rnacentral:tRNA from 1 species
GCGCCGGUGGUGUAAAGGCGUAGAGCAUUCCCGUCUGGUCAGAGAGAGAGAGAGAGGUGCGGGUUCGAGUCCUGCCUGGCGCU